GAGGUACCCGUCUGAAAAUACUUGUCAUCAAAAUGGAUAAAAAGAGAUGUAUCUAGAAUUAAAAUAUGUCUAGAUGCAUUCCAUUUUAUUCAUUUUGAUGAUAAGUAUUUCCAGACAGAGGAAGUAUUAG
rfam:Triticum urartu cultivar G1812 contig348323, whole genome shotgun sequence.